GGGGGCAGGGUCUUUCAGGCUGCUUUAGAGACCAGAGAGAAGUGGUCCAGCCUAAGAGGAGAGAGGGGAUGCUGGAGAGCUGCUAUUGUUGUGCCCCGUGCCUCAGCUUCCUAGUCUAACUGCUGGGUAGAAGAGAGAACGAGAGACACUGAAAGGAUAAGCACCUCUUUUUUUUGUUCUGUCUUUUAUUCUUUCUUUCAAUCUUUCUUUCUCUGUCUGUAUGUCUCCAUCACCCUGUUUUCCUCAGUGUGGGGGCGAAAUUGUGGUUUAGGUAAGCUGAACAAAUUGCUGCAUGGUUUUCACUGUGUCAUCCUGUUAGUUUUGACCAGGAUUUAUUUUGUCUUGGAAUAGUAGCUAUAGCUGUAGGGUAAUUUAGCUAAGUACUGUAGGGUGAUUUCCCAAUUUCAGUUUUUUUGUAUCUUUUUAGGGCGUUUUCUUUCAGGUCCAACCAAGAGUGGAUUGUAAUGAUCUAUUUUUUUAAAUCUUCAAAUUGGUUGCUUUGAUUAUUUCAGUGGUUAACUGUCUAAAUGCUUUCCUUUUUCCAUCAUUAGUUCUGGUAUGAAUUUCAUCCUGGCAGUCAUGCAUAAUGUAAUUGUCAGACAUACACAUUUUUUAAGGGUUGAACGGUGAAGUCGGGAAUAACAGUUUCUUAAUAUAUAUCUGGAGGUUGUGGAGAUGCAGAUGAAGUCUUUUUCUAUUACAAAACAAUUAAUGAAGUAAUUGUAGAUCUUCAAUCAAUUAUUAUUAUUAUUUUUUACAUCGAAUCAAUGGAAUGAUUUUGGAUAGGCUUAGUUGGAGCCUGCUAUUUGCAUUCAUGUGAGCAAAUCAAUUAGAGUCGGUUGGAAUGAAAUUGCUUUUGACUUAUCAUACAUUAUUUAUGUCUUCAUAGCGGCAUUUAAUUAUUACUUUAAUUUGGAAAAUGAUCUUCAAAAAUUCAGGGCCUUUGGUGAAUUAACAUUUCACAAUAACACACCUCACAUUUUACAUCAACAACACAUUUCAAAAUGUAUUUUAUUCAGAAUAAUUUAAAGAACGAUAUUAUUUUGAUUCUGGCAAAUUUGUGCAGAUUACAUUUAAUUUAAUUUAAUUUAUUAUAUUAAAUAUAGGAAUAGUAGGUGUAUGUUUUGGAAUAAAAUCUCAAGCGACCCCUGUUGUCUCUGUUAGUCUGACAUUCAGGACAAAAUAAUCUUCAAAUAGUCCAUGUUUUAUACCUGCCUCCUGGCAUUCUCUCGGUUUGUUUGAUUUGACCAGAUUCUUUAGGAGGAGGGGGUUGGGUUGACCGUGGGAUGUUAAUGGAAUGUACUAGACUAUGGUAUUAUGGAUGGUUUAAAAGGCCAUGGGUGGUUGUGGUUGUGACCCUUAACCUCUACAUCUCUGUGUUUCCAGGAGGUUUCAUUAUGUGUGGAUAUGCUGGUGUGGGCUGAGAGCGAAAGAGAGAGAGAGCAGGACAGGGCUAAAAUGGGCAUCUCUUCCUCCUUAUGGAUCGCUCCUGGAGGACAGGACCACCAGGACUUCCAAGGAGGGCAGGGCUUCAGACCACCUCUGGCCCAGAAAAACCUUUGAAGGGGCCUUGUGUUGUGCUUCAAGGCGUCUUCAAUCAAUUAUGUUGAUACAGCGUCUUUCUCUGUGUUGCUUGCCAUUGGGAUCGACUGAGGAAUUUGAUGAUGCGGUCACGCUUGCUUGCGAUUCCCAUUAUUGCCUCUCUGUGUUUAAGAUUCUCUUCGGUGACGGGUAUUCUUGGGUGUAUAAUACGGAUCACGUUGUUAUUGCUUAAGAAUACGCGUAGUCGAGGAGAGUCCUCUUCUUCUUCUUCGUCUGUCUUCGUCUGCAGCUGAGGACUAUUGAUCAGAUCGAAGCAGCUCAAAGUACCCCGUUACCUGUUUCCUUUUAAUACUGAGGAGUUGGCACACAGAAACACAAACCGUAGAGACUGACUGACAUCCAGGCCCAUUUAUCAAGCAAGGAGACAGAGCACUGCCGGCUGCCUAUCUGUUUCAGUGAUGAUUGUGCUGUCCAGUCUUGAGAUAGUGUCGACCAACCACUCUCGUCUGCAGUUUUUUUUUUUUAAACCCCCCCCCUCCCCACCCUUUUUCAUAAUUUUUAUACUGUGUUGUUGUCGUUUUGUCACAGAUGUUUCAGAUGUCACAUGUUUAUUUGACCAUUAUCAUGUCCAGUAUAUGAAAGUGUAUUUGCAUAUAUUCAUGCUGAAUUAUGUAUUUGUGUUGUGUGGUAGAUAUGCUACAGUGAGUGUGUAUUUCAUCGGCUUCUGAUACAACCGGAUAGUGUUGUUGUGCAGUUAUAGCAGAGGUUAGACUGCAUGGCCCUGGUCCUCUCUCAUGCAAAUCUCUCGAGUCUAUUUAUUAUCAGUCGUCCAGACCAAGCACUCUUUUCCUCCUUCUCCUUUUUUUAUGCAAAUUGAUUUUGAAAUGACAUUUAUCGCGUUGGGUUUUCCACACGAAAGAGCUGCCACACCGGAGCCCAGACAACAAAAUGUCCACCGCUCUAGCGAGAGCUCAAUUUAUGCAUUGGAGGAGAGUGGGUCUCGAUAACAAUUACCACAGGCUCAAAUAGACCAUAACCGGGUUUUCCAUGUUAUCAUAUGUAUGUUAUAUGCCAUGAAUAUGUAUCAGUCAGUCCCCCUGGUCGGAUGCAGGGUGCAUUCUGAACCCUAACACCCAUGUAAAAUCCAUUUGAACACCAUUAUAGAAACUACUUAACUUAUAGAGCCUCACUCAAGAUUCCCCUCCAGAAUUUUGUUUAAUGUCUAUUAAAUGUCAUAAAAAAACUAAAUGUAUGGUAUUUAAUAUUCAAAAGGUUUUCGUUUUUUUUUUUUUUUUUUUUACAAGCAUUCUUUGUCUUUUAAGCUAAACAACUGGUCUUGAUUACUAUCAUACAAAUUAAUUAAACUAGCUGUACUAAUACCAUUUCAGAUAUUGAAAUGAACACAAUUAUAUGUUAACUGCUUGGCUCGCUUGAUAAGAAAGAAACAACAGAAGCUUGGUUGACCCCAUAUUUCACCACUAUGGAAACUACAUAUCUGAUAAAGAUCAUAUCAGAAUGUACUUUGGAUAUCACCUUCUGUAGUGGAUCUAAAUGAUUUCCGAAAAUACAUCUACAUGGAGAAAGACGGGGGGGGGGGGGGUAGACAUACGUCUAACAUGUUGUGCUUCAAUGAAUCUCUGUAUUUUCUGUUUUGAAACAAACCAGGCCCUUGCUGCUGAACCAUUAUUUACCUAACCAUGAUCACGUGGUGUGGUCCUGAUCAAUUCAGCUGCUGAACCAUUCUUUACCUAACCAUGAUCACGUGGUGUGGUCCUGAUCAAUUCAGCUGCUGAACCAUUCUUUACCUAACCAUGAUCACGUGGUGUGGUCCUGAUCAAUUCAGCUGCUGAACCAUUCUUUACCUAACCAUGAUCACGUGGUGUGGUCCUGAUCAAUUCAGCUGCUGAACCAUUCGUUGCCUAUGCCUGCUUUUUGGAUUUUCUCUUGUCACGUUUACAUUACAUUACUAGUAGACAAUGUCAAUUAUCCUGAUAGACAGUAAGAAUGUCAGAGCCAAUAGUCAAAUGUAUAGAUUCAGUGAAUUGAGCAUGACAUUUAUUAUUUAUUGAACACAUCUUAAUUUACAAGAAUAGUAUUAUAAAUGGAUCCCUGUUAUUUUUCAUAUAUUCUAGCAAUAGUCUGCUUUCCUACAAAGUAUACUUGCACACAAAUAUGACGUUUAUUCAUCUUUAAGUAUGACUACAUUUGUUAUUAUAACAAAUGUAUUAACAUCCUUUAAAUUCACUAAAUAUGUUACAGUAAUAUACAUUGGAAAUCCAAUGACAUUAAAUACAAUAGCUAUCUGAUAGUUUGCAUGAUUUCCUUUUUCAUUUAGGUGUGUUUAAUUCAUAGCGUAUCAUUGUUUUAGUGAUAAUGUAUUACACAAACACAGCUGCAAUGUAAAAUAAAAUGCCAAUGACCCAUGUAUUGUAAAAGUGCCUUAUUCUAUAAAUAAAAUGUCACAAAAGAUAAA